GUGCCAGCAGCCGCGGUAAUUCCAGCUCCAAUAGCGUAUAUUAAAGUUGUUGUGGUUAAAAAGCUCGUAGUUGAACCUUGGGCCUGGCUGGCCGGUCCGCCUCACCGCGUGCACUGGUCCGGCCGGGCCUUUCCCUCUGUGGAACCCCAUACCCUUCACUGGGCGUGGCGGGGAAACAGGACAUUUACUUUGAAAAAAUUAGAGUGCUCCAGGCAGGCCUAUGCUCGAAUACAUUAGCAUGGAAUAAUAAAAUAGGACGCGCGGUUCUAUUUUGUUGGUUUAUAGGACCGCCGUAAUGGUUAAUAGGGACAGUCGGGGGCAUCAGUAUUCAACUGUCAGAGGUGAAAUUCUUGGAUCAGUUGAAGACUAACUACUGCGAAAGCAUUUGCCAAGGAUGUUUUCAUUAAUCAGGAACGAAAGUUAGGGGAUCGAAGACGAUCAGAUACCGUCGUAGUCUUAACCAUAAACUAUGCCGACUAGGGAUCGGACGGUGUUAUUCAUGACCCGUUCGGCACCUUACGAGAAAUCAAAGUGCUUGGGCUCCAGGGGGAGUAUGGUCGCAAGGCUGAAACUUAAAGAAAUUGACGGAAGGGCACCACCAGGGGUGGAGCCUGCGGCUUAAUUUGACUCAACACGGGGAAACUCACCAGGUCCAGACACAAUAAGGAUUGACAGAUUGAGAGCUCUUUCUUGAUUUUGUGGGUGGUGAUGCAUGGCCGUUCU
rnacentral:rRNA from 1 species